GGGGGGGCCGGGAGCGGCCGGGGGGGGCCCUGGCCAGGACUGCGGCGGCACGAAGCGCCCUGGCGCUGCUGUCUCGGACGGGUUUUGUCUUUGCUGCCAGGUUCGGACGUGCCGGAUCCUAAUCAAUGUGUAUAAAUAUCUAAAAGAGGGGUGCCAGUAGGGUGGAGCCAGGCUAUUCUCUGUGGUGCCCAGCAAUAGGACAAGAGGGAACGGGCAGAAACUGAUGCACGAGAACUUCCACCUGAAAAGGAGGAACUUCUUUACUGUGUGGGUGACGGAGCACUCGAACAGGUUGCCCAGAGAGGUUGUGGAGUCUCCCUCACUGAAGAUACUUAAGAGCUGUCUGGAUGCAAUCCUGUGCAAUGUGCUCUAGGAUGACCUUGCUGGAGCAGAGGGGUUGGACCAGAUGACCCACUGUGGUCCCAUCCAGCCCUGCCCAUUCUUUGAUUCUGUGAUUCCCUCCGGAGCAGCGAGUUGCUGGUAGUGGUGACCUGGAGGCUUCCGCCAGGUGUCACCAGUUGCUGCUGGUGAAACCUUCAACAUAUUCACUAGUUUACGUGGAUUAUCAGCCUGACUAUCUAAAGUAUUGUAAAGGUGCUCAUCACCAUAGUAGUUUAAAGAGACAAUGUGGCCCGGUGUGUGCAUCCUAUAUUCUUUCCCAAGUGGCUGUUUGGGCACCAGAGACCUGAGGAAGCCCAGGUUCACACCAGGAGUUUGAAGUGUCCCUGAAAUUCAGUGCUGGGGUGCGGAGGGGGAAAGGGGCAAAGCACCUCCUUUGUCAUGUCCAAAUAGCAUUUGUUGUGGUUGUCAUUAUCUUUGUCAUUAAAGUACCAGGCAUGGGAUAAAUGGCAUUGGCAGAGUCAUGAAUAUAAAAGAUUUUUAAAUGUUUGUGAAAUUAUUGUACCUCUGUGGCACUAGUGAGGCCACACCUGGAGUACUGUGUUCAGUUCUGGGCCCCUCAGUUCAGGAAGCACACUGAGGUGCUGGAGUGGGUCCUGAGAACAGCAGCAAAAGCUGGUGAAGGGUCUGGAGCACAAGUCCUAUGAGGAGCAGCUGAGGCAGCUGGGGUUGUUCAGCCUGGAGAAGAGGAGGCUCAGGGGAGACCUUAUUGCUCUCUACAACUACCUGAAAGGAGUUUGUAGCAAGGUGGGGGUCGGCCUCUUCUCCCUGACAACCAGCAACAGGACAAGAGGACAUAGUCUUAAGCUGUGUCAAAGGAGGUUUAGGUGGGACAUUAGAAAGAAUUUCUUCACUGAAAGGGUGGUUAAACACUGGUACAGGCUGCUGCUCAGGGUGGUGGAGUCACCAUCUCUGAAGGUGUUCAGGAAAUGACUUGGUGCUUUGGUCUAGUUGACAUGGUGGUGUUCAGUCACAGGUUGGACUCGAUGAUCUCAGAGGUCUUUUUCAACCUAAUUGAUUCUGUGAUGACUUGGAUAUACUAUCUACAGCAUUUAAGCAUUCACCUGUGCUAAGAGGUAUCUUUGUGGGCUCAGCAGCCACGUGUUGUUCAGAUUCUUGGGUAGGGUCUCUCUGGAUGAGUGCAGAGGAGCCAGACAGGGGGUUCUUUUUUCAAGCCCCAUAUAUAUACAAUGGGAGGAGGGAUGAGGUAAGAAAAGGCCCCAGGGGUGUCCCCUCUCAGGCACCAAAAGGCUUCCUGUGCGUCUGUCCCUUGGAGUCAAGCUCCUGAGACACAGGGACAGUUACCCUUAAUUGCCACCAUUAUCGUGCUGCACCUCUAUGUGCUUGCUCUGUGUCACAGUGUGGACACUGCUUCCACAAUAUUGUCACCUCUUAAUAUGGGAACACUUUCUUGUAUUAUUUCUCCAGCUGUGGUUCUCCAAGACUUCCUCCGCCUCUUCUUCAUUUAUUCCUGUUAAACAUUGACUUGUUUUUCUACUUGUGACAGCAAGUGUAGAUAUACCCAGUUCUGAUUAACAGGUUUUACAUUAUAUGAUUUUGGUCUUGCUGCCAGCAGACAAUGUUUGUCAAGAAAGACCAGACUAUCUGAGGCAGACUGCACUUAUGGUAUGCCUCUGGUACAUUAGAUAAAGGUUUACUUCAGAGAGGUAAGGUUUGUAGGCAAGGGUAGGUGAUGCUUCCUUUAACAGAGGGAUACAGUUGGAAAAAAAGAAACACACUUUAAGACACAUUAGCUCUGAAUACCUUUAAGCCACAGCUUUUAAUGAGCCAAGCCCUGUAAAAUGAAAGAUUCUGAAAAGGUUAUUUCAAGAAUUUGAACAGCAGUAUGAUUCUUUCUGUUUUGUAACUGAAGUUCUGAAUACUUCAAAUUGUGUUUAAUAACUUCUAUUAUCACCGCUAUUAUGUUGUCAUUUUAUUUAUAGGCACAUAUAUAUGUGAAAACCGUGCUGUUUUGGUAAGAAAUAGAGGCAAAAGCACUGUGUUAUGAGAGUAGCUGCAUAUUCUCUCUGACUUUUAUCGAAACAACAAAGUCACCAAAAAUUCACCCUGAGUGACAGAGCUGGAAUGCCCCAUGUGGACCUGAUGUGGAUGUGUGUCCCUCUCCCUUAGGCUUGGUACAGUGUUUACUGCCAGUACCUGAGCAGUAGCCUGUUUGUUCUGGAGCGUUCUGCAUCAGGAUGGGCACCACUGUGAAUUUACCAUUCCCUACUGUACCUUUUCUCUAACAGUCCUGUCAAAACUCAUUUAGCUUCAAGUGUGGCAGCCCUGGUAUCCAGCUGCUUCUCUAUUCUACAUCAUGACAUCUAGAGGACAGUUGUAUGAGUUUGCUUUAUCCAUCUUGCCAUUAUUUUACCACAGAACUUAUUUACCUGAGGGGUACUUACAGCAAGCUUUGGUAUAUCUUCCCGCAUCAUUUUACCAUGUUUGUGGCUUGUAGUUCCAAAAUAAUUUCUUUUUUUCCAUUUCUAAGGGACAGGCAAAGGAUUUGUGUCAGCUGGCCUUUUUUUCUUUUUUUUCGGUAUGUAUGAUUUUAAAAAGGAACUUAAAUAAAAUCAGGUAUUUCCUCCCUUCUUAUUAAUAAUAAAAUCUUAAUUGUUUAUGUUGUGGAGAGUACUAAAGGAAAGCAAGAGACACCUGCCCUUUAUUGCAGUUCAAACAUACAGUCAUGCAAUCAAAAAUGUUGACAUUUUUCCUUCAAAAAUAUUGUGGUAGUAUCACUACCUUCCUCUAAGGACAGGGAAGUGGGUUUCUUGCCUACAUGAAUGUAUAAUUUGCAUUCUGCUUGGGGUCUCCGGACUCAGGGAGGCAGGCACGCCAUCUGCUGUGGAAGGUACAGAAUAAAAUCAAAUACUAUUUGAGAGACUAAAAAGGGGGGGGGGGGGGGGAACCCCACUUCUAAAAUACUAGCUCUCCUGGAGUUUUGUUCUUUCAGGAAAGAAAUUUCCACAAUUCAGGCUUUUAAUCCAAAACUCAUUUUGAAGAAAACAAAUAUGGUACAGAGACAGGCAGAUUUUUCUAGGUUUCUUUUGCCCAUUUCUAGGCUGAAUCAUAAGAAGCUCAAAGGAGCCAAAUGUAAUUUGUAAUGUGGGAGGGGAGGGGGGGAAGUUUCAGGGGAAUAAAACAAAGCUGCUCCCAGACAGAGAGUAGUCCCAGCAUCUCAUUCCUGCCUUGUACAGUACCUUCCUUCAGCAGACUAGAUUAAGUAGAAGUAGGCCAGGGUUUCCUCUCUGCUUUUGGCCCCACAAAGCAAACUUUUCAAGGCUCUACUUUAAGUUCUUGGAGAUUCAAAAGCAGCAAUACAGCAAUCUUCUACCCAGCUUUGCAGCAGUAGAUGAGAUGUAGAUAACCUCUCCACUGAUCAUAUGAGCAAGACCUGGCUAGUAGAGGAGAAAAUCAGGAUUUGUGACACCUUCAAUCACUGUCAGACUAUGGAAGAGAGUAUGGCCAGCUCCAAAGGGAACUGUGAAAGUUACAAUUCUUUUGCCAGAUUCCACAGUAUGGAAAUCUCAGCAGCAAUUUGUUUGCCCACAUUCCAAAAGACAAAUGAUUUAAUGUAAGAAGUAUUUUCUCUGUUAUUAAUAGAGGUCCCUCUCCUUUGCCACUGUAAAGUUUAAAAGCCUUUACCCCCUAGGUGGCACUAUACAAUAAAGCAAGGCAUGUUUAAAUACUGUUUUCCCUUUGCAGGUGACAGAAUCAUAGUCACUAAGGUUGGAAAAGACCUCCAAGUUCAUCGAGUCCAACCUUUGACAGAACACUACCAUACAAACUAAACCAUAGCACUAGGUGUCACAUCCAGUCGUUUCUUGAAUACUUCCAGGGAUAGUGGCUCCACCACCUGGAUCAGCAGUCUGUUGCAAUGCUUAACCACCCUUUCAGUAAAAAAAUGAUUCCCAGUGUCCCACCUGAAUCUCCCCUGGCACAGUUUGAGGCAAUUCCUCUUGUCCUGUCGCUGGUUGCCUGGGAGAAGAGGCUGACCCCCAACUGGCUAGAACCUCCUUUUCAGGUAGUUGGAGAGAGUGAUGAAGUCAUCCCUGAGCCUCCUUUUCUCCAAGCUAAACAAUCCCAGCUCCCUCAGCUGCUCCUCAUAGGACUUACUCUAUAGACCCUUCACCAGUUCCAUUGCUCUUUCCUGGACUCACUCCAGCACCUCAGUGUCUUUCUUGUAGGGGGGGCCCAGAACUGAACACAGUACUCCAGGUGCGGCCUCACCAGUGCCGAUUACAGGGGGACAAUCCCUUCCUGGUCCUGCCGGCCACACUGUUCCUGAUACAGGCCAGGAUUCCCCUGGCCUUUUUGGCCACCUGCACACACCGCCGGCUCGUGUUCAACUGGCUGUCGACCAGCACCCCCAGGUCCUUUUCUGCUGGGCUGAUGGAAUUCUUAUUUACAAUGUAAACUAGUGUAAGUAUGCUGAAUGUAGCUAUUAGUCUCAGCUAGGUAAUCCUCUUUUUCUGAAACUGUUUCUCUAAGUCAGUAAAACACACUGAUGUGAAUCUCAUCUAAAUUCAAUAUUUUUGCUUUCAGAGUGCUGUAUUUUCCUGGAAAAUUAUGGUGCAUCACAAGCUCUUAGUUUUUGUUUUGUCUGUGUGCAGUGAAUAAACCAGCAUAGGCUAUGUUUACUUUAGCAAGUCACUCAGAGCAGCAGGAGUAGACUGAUAGCUGUAAACAGCAGGAGCUGAGGUUCCUCACAUCUCCAGUAUAUCCUCACACAGAAAUUACUUUGCAUCAGAUCCUGCUUUUCACUCUGAUGCUGGAACAUGCGUUGCUUGGUGGUGCAGGGGAGGAACAAAAGCCUUUGCCUUGCAGCCACAUUGCCAGGAAAAUAUCUUGAGUAAGGCCUUCUUACCCCUUGCUUUCACAUGCAAAAAAAAAAGAUAAUAUUUUUCUGACAGUGUUUACCACUGUGACAGUUUUGCUCACAGUCAAAUAGAGAUGCUGAGCCUGAGAGACAAGCUUAGACAGACAGGACCUCGCCAAUAUUGGGAUAUAGAAAUAGAACAAGCAGGUGCAAAACUCCUGAGAGCAAGGGGGUACCACUGAGAGACACAGAGAACAGUGGAACAUAAGGGAUUUAGAGGAAUAAUGUCAUAAUAUCCUCAAUAAAUUUCUAUGAUUCCCUUUUGAAAA